UCCGCUCCAGGUUAGUCGGGAGCUAAGGUGAGGCCUAACGGCGUAGCCGAUGCACAGACGGUAGAGAUUCCGUCACCACCAAAAGAGUUAAACACAGGGACACAUUUGAAGUCUCGGAGCCGGGUGUUGGUUCCGGUAGCGAUCGAGGGAAAUUAGUACCGAAGUCCGGGAUGGAAGAUGGCGAGAAAAGCUGUGUGUAUUUCUGCGGUGCCCGUACCGCAAACCGACACAGGUAGGUAGGAAGAAGAUUCUAAGGCCAACGGGAGAAGGGUUGUUAAGGAACUCGGCAAAUUGACCCCGUAACUUCGGGAGAAGGGGUGCUCCAGAGAUGGAGCCGCAGAGAAUCGGCCCAAGCAACUGUUUACCAAAAACACAGGUUUGUGCUAAAUCGAAAGAUGACGUAUACGAGCUGACGCCUGCCCGGUGCUGGAAGGUUAAGAGGAGAUGUGCAAGCAUUGAAUCGAAGCCCCAGUGAACGGCGGCCGUAACUAUAACGGUCCUAAGGUAGCGAAAUUCCUUGUCAGGUAAGUUCUGACCCGCAUGAAAGGCGUAAUGAUUUGGGCACUGUCUCGACAGCCCGCCCGGCGAAAUUGUAGUACCGGUGAAGAUGCCGGUUACCCGCGACAAGACGGAAAGACCCCAUGGAGCUUUACUGUAGCCUAAUAUUGGGUUUCGAUGUUGCAUGCACAGGAUAGAUGGGACACUGGGAAGCAAGUGCUUUGGCAUUUGUGGAGUGGCCGUUGGGAUACCAUCCUUGCGAUAUUGGAAUUCUAACCUGCGCCUUUGAAUCAAGGCGGGGGACAUUGUUAGGUGGGCAGUUUGACUGGGGCGGUCGCCUCCUAAGGAGUAACGGAGGCGUUCAAAGGUUCGCUCAGCUUGAACGGAAAUCAAGCAAAAGAGUGCAAACGCAGAAGCGAGCCUAACUGCGAGACUGACGGGUCGAGCAGUAACGAAAGUUGGAGUUAGUGAUCCGGUGGUAUGUGAGUGGAAAUGCCAUCGCUCAACGGAUAAAAGUUACCCUGGGGAUAACAGGCUGAUCUCCCCCAAGAGUCCACAUCGACGGGGAGGUUUGGCACCUCGAUGUCGGCUCAUCGCAUCCUGGGGCUGUAUUCGGUCCCAAGGGUUUGGCUGUUCGCCAAUUAAAGCGGUACGCGAGCUGGGUUCAGAACGUCGUGAGACAGUUCGGUCCCUAUCUGUCGUGGGCGCAGGAUAUUUGAUGGGAGCUGUUCCUAGUACGAGAGGACCGGAGCGGACGUACCUCUGGCGCACCAGUUGUUCUGCCAAGGGCAUAGCUGGGCAACUAUGUACGGAUCGGAUAAACGCUGAAAGCAUCUAAGCGUGAAGCCGACCCAAAGAUAAGAUAUCCCAUUGUUUCAAACAAGUAAGACCCCUUGAAGACUACAAGGUUGAUAGGCAUGAUGUGUAAGUGGAGUGAUCCAUUCAGCAAGCGUGUACUAAUAGGUCGAGGGCUUGACCG
rnacentral:rRNA from 1 species